GAAAAUUGAUAUUUUAGCGAAUGAAUUAUGAAAAAUACAAAAAUAAUUUCAAAUAUUCGUUUUAAGGUUCCAUAAUGUUAAUAAUUAUUUUUUAAGACUUUUAAAAAUUCUGAUAUAUUAGUUUUGAUAAAAAUUGGAUUUUCGGUGAAAUAUUUUUGUAUUAAACUUUCAAAAUUUGUAAAAUAUCCAAAAUUGAUUUAAAAAUUUUGAAAAUUUAUUUAUAAGCUUUUAAUAAUAUUAUCUAGCUGUGGUAAAUGUUUCGUGAUUUUUGGAUGAUUUUUUCCGAAUAAAUUGUAUAUCGUAAUUUUUACGUUAAAACCGAAACAAAAUAAUAAAACACGAACCAAGGGACACUUGGCAUCCUUAGAGGGGCUGGUUUUGUGCAUGUUUGCCAAGUGGCAUCAGCUGGGAUAUGAUGGGCAUGACUCACCCCAAGGGUGAGUGUACGUGUGCCAUGUGUCCAUGAGAUGUAAUAAAAAAAGAAAAAAAAGAAAUGCACACACAUGUACACUCCUUUCUCCCAAAUCACUCUGUCUCUCACCACUCUGCUCUCUCCCUCUCCGUACACCUAUCUCCCCCCUCCUGUUCCAGAAUAACCUCCCCCAUUUCCUUUCUUUCUCUUUUUAAUUUACAAACUAAUACCUCAAAAAUAUAUAUAUAUUUAUCUUUACAAGUUGAUUAAUUAAGUGCGGCUAAUUUGGAGAAUAGCUAGGCAAAUUCCACUCUCGGCUUUCGAGCACUUUCGGUUUCAAAGGGGUUCCCGACAGCAGUAGUAUUCCACACCUUGUGUCUUUUGCUCAGCUCAGAUAUAUCAAAAUCGCCCGUCUUGCCGUAGGAUUAGCCCAAGACGUUCCUCUAGCUCUUCGUUCUGGCUCGGUAGCUCUCAAGUAGUUCCAGGCGGUUGGAGUCAUAUCUAAACUAGGUUUCUAGCUUGAUCUAGAUAUUUCUGUAGGUUGGUUUUGAGGGAUAUGGUGUAAUCUCAUGUAGAGAUUGUCCCACAUCUUGGUAUGUUUCUGUUAUAAGUUGUAAACCUGUGACAUACUUAACCUGAUAAAGAUCCUGUUGUUGGGGUUGUUGUGUGAACUUAAUAAUAUUUGCUAGACAAACUUCAGAUUUGUGUUUUAAUAUGGUUAGUGGCUCCAGAACUCUAACCCCAGGUUCGGGACGU